rnacentral:lncRNA from 1 species
AUCAUCAUCACUGAAGCUCUAUGGAUCAGUGCUACCCUAGAGCACUACUUAUGAGGUGGGUGCAGGUAUUAUGAUACCCUUACUAUGGAAGAGAAAAUGGAGGCUCUGAUUGGUUAUGUAACUUGCUGAGUGAAGGUAACAGAGCUAGUGAGGUAGGUUCAGGCUUGAAUCCAGCUCUGAAGCCUUGCUCUUAACUACAACCUGUUCUGUACACUCAGUGACUUAUAUGAGGAUCCUUCCUGGUAAUGGUGGCUCCUAGGUGGAGAUCUCCUUGAGAAUUCAGGCACAGUCAUUAUAGUCUAGUCUCUGAGUAGAUCCUUUCCAAUAAGCCUUAUGUCUAGUGCAAAGCAUGAAAUCCACUUUCCUUUUUUCCUCUAUGCUGUCACUCCUUACCUCCACUGGUUAUGUGCAUGAACUUCCCUAAGGGUCUCUUCCCUCUGUGGGAGCCCAUCUCACAUUCACUCUCACUAUGUCAUUUUCUUGCAUGGGGUUGGGGUUAGGGUUGGCUUCCCCAUUUUCUCUGGUUAUCUGUCAGGACUGGUGUGCUUACUCCUGAAGAAUCUCCCUAAAAUCUUUACUGUUUACUUUGAAUGAUCCUGGAAGCUGACUCAAUCCCAAAUAGUAGUCUGAGUCUGAGACUCUGGCAUGCCCCUUGGGAGCAUGAAGGAUGCAUGUGCUAGUGUGCAAAACUCUUUCACUGGCUCAGAACCUAAGACCUCCUCUGUGGCCCAGAAGAGGAGGCAUGGAAGGUAACCAGUUUUCUCCUCUAAUUCCAGCCCUAGGCCUCUGCUCCUUUUCUCAGCACACUGAAUGGAACCAGAACCUCCAAGAGCUCAAUACUCACCAUAAUGUAAGAAUGUCUCUGCUACUUCUUAGAGUUGAAGAGGGUGACCAACCAGAGCCAUACAGUUUGUGGAGUGGUCCUGACCUAUCAUGGGUCUAUACAAGGUGGCAGUUUAGGGGAACUAACUAAUAUGUCUUUAGCCUUGCUUCCCCUUAAUCUCCAGCCCUGACAUUUCUUCUUCAUCCUUACAUUUCAAUGUUCUCCAGGAUUCUCCAAUCUUUUCUUUUUUCUUCUUACCCAAUCCACUCUCCCUUGUCCCUCUUAUCCACACACAUCUAUAGCUAGAUUACAUAUGUUGUGCUUCAGACUCCUACAUGAAGCUUCACAGAUCUGGUAAAAUAAUAUACCUAAAUAAAAACCUAUCCCUUUCUCCACAAAAUGUACUUAUUUUUCAAUA